GGCUCAGGAUGAACGCUAGCUACAGGCUUAACACAUGCAAGUCGAGGGGCAGCAUGUGGUUGCUUGCAACCAAUGAUGGCGACCGGCGCACGGGUGAGUAACGCGUAUCCAACCUUCCCCUUAGUAGAGGAUAGUCCGGCGAAAGUCGGAUUAAUACUCUAUGUUCUUCAAUGCGGACAUCUAAGUUGAAGCAAAGAUUUAUCGCUAAGGGAUGGGGAUGCGUCUGAUUAGGUUGCAGGCGGGGUAACGGCCCACCUGGCCUACGAUCAGUAGGGGUUCUGAGAGGAAGGUCCCCCACACUGGUACUGAGACACGGACCAGACUCCUACGGGAGGCAGCAGUGAGGAAUAUUGGUCAAUGGGCGCGAGCCUGAACCAGCCAAGUAGCGUGCAAGGACGACUGCCCUAUGGGUUGUAAACUGCUUUUAUCAGGGAAUAAAGUGAGGCACGCGUGCCUUUUUGUAUGUACCUGAUGAAUAAGGACCGGCUAAUUCCGUGCCAGCAGCCGC
rnacentral:rRNA from 1 species